rnacentral:rRNA from 1 species
AUUGAACGCUGGCGGCAGGCCUAACACAUGCAAGUCGAACGAGUGGCGGACGGGUGAGUAAUGUCUGGGAAACUGCCUGAUGGAGGGGGAUAACUACUGGAAACGGUAGCUAAUACCGCAUACCAUCAGAUGUGCCCAGAUUGGAUUAGCUAGGUGGUGGGGUAACGGCUCACCAAGGCGACGAUACCUAGCUGGUCUGAGAGGAUGACCGGCCACACUGGAACUGAGACACGGGCCAGACUCCUACGGGAGGCAGCAGUGGGGAAUAUUGGACAAUGGGCGCAAGCCUGAUGCAGCCAUGCCGCGUGUAUGAAGAAGGCCUUCGGGUGGUAAAGUACUUUCAGCGGGGAGGCGGUACCCGCAGAAGAAGCACCGGCUAACUCCGUGCCAGCAGCCGCGGUAAUAC